AAGUCGUAACAAGGUAACCGUAGGUGAACCUGCGGUUGGAUCAUUAUCACGUUUUAAACACGUUUUAUCAACCAACGCGAACUGUUGACCCACCCCUUUAUAUAUUGAGUAAAUGUUUUCUUGUUGUAGAGAUGAGACAAGUGUUCAAGUAACUAUAUUAGAAACAAAAUAGAUUCAAGCUGCUUUCAUUCAAGUGAUUUAUAGCUUGUGUUUUCGCUUUCUUAUCUUUAGUUACCAUGGUUUUACAAACCACAUCUUUCAAAACUAUCAAACAAUAAAGGGCGUAUUAAAUAACGAAACCACUUGAUAUUAACUAUUCUUAUAAAUUUUGAACUGACUUGUUUCUUUCUCUUCGGAGAAGAAAUUAAAAUACGAAAAAAUACAAAACAACUCUUAGCAACGGAUAUCUUGGUUCUC
rnacentral:misc_RNA from 1 species